UUUUUCUCUAUAAUUUUCUCUCAAUUUUUACUCUCCUCUUUCUCUUCUCCCUAGAUCCCUUUUUAUAGCCUUCAUAACCCCCUUAUAUCACAUCUCCUUGUUACUUAUGGAAUCGUAUGCAUUAUAGGAGUCUUGGCCAUGUUAAAUCUCUUAGAAUCAUGUCCCAACCGUGUCCCUACCUUCUGGCCUUUGGAUGACAAUUAAACACCCCAGAUUACACCUCACAGACCUUAUCUCAGUCGAAAUCGAUAUUAGCCAUCAGAUCAAGCUCAAUUUUCAUUCUGGACCAUCAGAUGGUGUAAAGAAAAGCUUCAAAUUUGUUCUCCCAGCUGGUAGUGUGUCCCGACUAUUGGAUCGCACGUGGAAUGGCUUUGGACCGUCUGAUCGCACCAAUCUAAUGGGCCACCACUGCUUGACAUGGUAAAGAGCUCCCUCAGCCAUCCGAUCACAUGUUUGAUCAAGCAUCAGCCGUCCGAUGGCGCAAAAGAAAGCCAUCCUCCGCUGGAC
rnacentral:lncRNA from 1 species